rnacentral:rRNA from 1 species
GUCUUUUUGAUGAUAAUUUAAAGUCUAACCUGCCCACUGAUUUAUUGAAUGGCCGCAGUAUUUUGACAGUGCGAAGGUAGCAUAAUCAAUUGUUUCUUAAUUAGGAGCUGGAAUGAAUGGUUGGAUGAGAAAGAAACUGUCUCUGUUAGAUUUAGUGUUGAAUUUUAUUUUUAAGUUAAAAAGCUUAACUGUUGUUAAAAGACGAGAAGACCCUAUAGAGUUUAAUAUUUUGUUUGAUUAGUUUUUAAAGGUAAAAAAUUUGAGUAAUUAGAUGAAGUAUUUGGUUGGGGCGAUUGGAAAAUUAAAUUAACUUUUAUCUUUAUUUAUACAUUGAUUUAUGAAUUAAUGAUCCAUUUUUUAUGAUUAUAAGAAUAAAUUACCUUAGGGAUAACAGCGUAAUUUUUUUUAGAGUUCUUAUUGAAAAAAAAGAUUGCGACCUCGAUGUUGGAUUAAAAUUUGAAAUUGGUGAAGAAGCUAAUUUUCUAGGUCUGUUCGACCUUUAAAAUUUUACA